GACGAACGCUGGCGGCGUGCUUAACACAUGCAAGUCGAACGGAAAGGCCCUGCUUUUGUUGGGUGCUCGAGUGGCGAACGGGUGAGUAACACGUGAGUAACCUGCCCUUUACUUUGGUAUAACUUCAGGUAACUGGGGCUAAUACCGGAUAUGAGCUCCUGCUGCAUGGUGUGGGUUGGUAAGUUUCGGCGGUUGGGGAUGGACUCGCGGCUUAUCAGCUUGUUUGUGGGGUAGUGGCUUACCAAGGCUUUGACGGGUAGCCGGCCUGAGAGGGUGACCGGCCACAUUGGGACUGAGAUACGGCACAGACUCCUACGGGAGGCAGCAGUGGGGAAUAUUGCACAAUGGGCGGAAGCCUGAUGCAGCAACGCCGCGUGCGGGAUGACGGCCUUCGGGUUGUAAACCGCUUUCGCCUGUGACGAAGCGUGAGUGACGGUAAUGGGUAAAGAAGCACCGGCUAACUACGUG
rnacentral:rRNA from 1 species